UGGAGGGAGAAAGAAUCGUUCGGAUUGUUCAUUAAAAAAAAUCGUCAAAUCAGGAUUCAAUGCUCCCACUGCGGAACGUCGGCGACCCUUCAAUCAUGAUGAUUGACAUAAAGUUGUCGUUCAUAAAAAGAAGUGCCCCUUAGAAUUCCAAUCGAUUCAUCUUUCCAUUGUUGUGUAUAAAUAAGGAAAGUGGUCAAACCCAAAUUCAAUCAAAUCUUUUCUUUCCUUAUUCGUAAAACUCCUUAAAAACCCGUCUUGCUUUCAUCUUUUCCUUUAUUGUUUUUCCUUGAAAAGAUUCCUCCAUGUCUGCCUCAUCAUCUCACCCUUCUCCCAAUCGUUCUUCUCAUGAUGACAUUCCAUCUCCUGAACGCCGUUUUGGAAAUGCUCCAAUCUCACCCUAAGUCAAGAGAUUGAUCUUAAUUCUCACGCUACCGAUUUUCUCCCAUAUGGGUUCAAAUAUCACGAGGACUUCAUCAAUCAGUUGAAGAAAUUGACUCCUUCAUAACUACUGACAUUAUUCCCAAGGUUCGUGAGGAUUGCAACUUCACACCAGAAGUUGAUAUUGCCGCCGUUAACCCCGAAACCAGGAUGAACAACCACAUUGAGAUUUUUUCUAUGGUCUACACGUAUCCUUUUGCAAUAGGUUUCAAACUCCCAAUUCACGAGAUUAUUGAAGACUUCUGCCGUCAAUACCGAGUUUGCAUCGGUCAAGUUGAUCCCCAGGUUUGGCGCUUAAUCUACUAUAUUCAACUUUUGGCCGACCAAGCCGGAAUUGCAUUUUCUCUUGAUCAUCUAUUGCACCUGUAUUCUCCUUGGGUUUUCCGAGGAGGAUUAGUGCACCUAUUUCCUCGUGGCAGACGCAGCCUGAUCUACCCGGAAGAUGAUUUUGACUAGGGAUGGCUUAUAGGUUUAUGAUGAUCCGAACUAGCCUACUACAUCGUUCUACACCCGAGCCAUUUCCGGAAGCGUGGAAUAAUACUCCUGUUCCUAUUGAGUUGGGGAUUUUAGUCUGAAUUUUUGAAUGGUUAGUCGCUCUGCUACGUGCCUAUCCCAAUAUGACCCAAUCUUGGAGAAGUAUGACCUCCGAUUGAUGGAGAGGAAAGAGUCACAGUGAGCAAAGCUAAACUUUACUAACUGCAUACAACUUCGUGCCCCUUCUCUUCUUUUCAUUCAUCUUCUCAUUGCAGGCCUCCCUGUGAGAAAGUCUACUACCCGAAAAGUCCUCACUCGAACAGUAGCUUUGUCAAACAUCGUUAGCGCUGCUUCCUCCAGCCGAAAACGUAGGCUAAAAGAUACAUCCACUUCUUCUCCGGUAGGAAUUGGUUCUAGAGUGCGGACCCGUCGUAGGCUUAUUGAAGCAUGGAGUAAAGCCCAACAUAAUGCUCAACACGGGGUGGUUUACAUUAAUGACGACGAUGAGCAACAAUAGGUCGGCAGUCCCAAGGAUCUCUCGCCCGAUGAUUCCAAAGAAAGCCUUUGGGAAACCCAAGGUUUCUCCCUCCGAAAUUUUCUAGGAAAGCCCUUUUGUCCUAACUUGUGAACCAUCACAAAGGAUCGUUGUUCCACCGGCUGAAAUUGGAACUUCGGGCUUAUUACCACGUCUUAAACCUCCUGAGCUUCGAAUCCUCACUUGCUUACCUAGCCAAUAUAUUCCUUUAGGGUCAUGUGGCUGCUACUUCCACUGCAGACGUUACACAGACCUUUGCUCCUUCCCGUCGUGAAGUUAAACUAAGAGAACAAUGACCGCCUGAGGGUUGAAGUAGAGAGGCUCCGAGUUAAGUUCGAGAUUCUGAUUCUCUCUAGGCCUCUUUACGAAUGCGCUUGGAAGAUGUAACUAACUCUCUAAGAGAUCGGGAGAACUCUCUUCAAACUUUGACUUCAUCCUAUGUCUGUCUUUAGAACAAAGUGGCUAGAUUAGAGAAUGAUUUGAACAACACUCAGGGCCAGCUUGUCAAUGUUGAAGUUUCUCGGUAAAGCCUCCGAGCCCGAUGCCAAAAAUUACGACUCCAUCGUGAUUUAGCCAUCUUAGAAACCCGAAGGGAUAUACUCGAAGAGGCUAAUGCUGAUGAUUUUGACCUUCCCACAUCGCUGCUUGAGGCGGAAAUCGAUUUGGAAGCUGUUGAACUGACUCUUGAAGAUAUCCAGGCACCGAGGGAUUGAUCGGGAAGUGAGGAUUCUAACCCUUCACAUGCUGCAGGAGCUGCUCCAAACACUUAGCCCUUGUAUUUGUUCUCAACUUUUAUAGUACAGUUGCUAUUUUAAGCUUCCCCUCUUUUUAUUUGGACAAUAAUUUAUUUUUGUGGAAUUUUACCAUGUUUAGAAUUUAAACCUGGGUUGACGAUGGGAUCGGGCAUGCCGGUCCCUUUCGAUGGUUUAUAAUAUGAUGGGGUCAGCUUUUCCGAUCUUUUGAUGUAUCCUCAGUUUAUAACGAAUGACAUGAGUUUGUAUCCUUUCACAGA